rnacentral:rRNA from 1 species
AUGGCGACACAAGAGGAACCAAACAGAACCCGUCGGGGCAAGGAGCAUGUGGAAGAACUCUUGAGUCGUUUGGAGCUUCAGGAAGAUGAGGAGGAACAAUUUUUCUGGGAAGAAGAAUUCAAGGAGGAGAGGAUCGAGGCCAAGUGGCUUACGAUCGCGAAGGUGCACACCAAUAAGGGUUUCAGCCAUUCGGCUCUAUAUGCUGAUAUGAGAUCGGCGUGGAACCCAGUCAAGGAGGUCCGUUGGCGCAGGGUUGAUGAAAAUUUGUUCACGGUACAAUUCGGAUGCCUGGGGAACUGG